AGGUUAUAAAUUAAACACGUUGGCUUACUUUACGCAAAUGUAAUGUGUCAGCAGAUAAACUAAAAGAAUAAUUAUUUACUUUAACCGGUAGGAUGUAAACGCCUUGUUACUUACUGCAUUGCAUGGGCUCCCUUGGCACUACUAAAAUACCUUCAGGUGUCGUGGUAACGUUGACAACACCAAGCUGAUCUAGAUUUGUAACGUUCCAGCCAAACGAUUCUUGGGGAUAGACGUGUUGACUUUGGUACGCCGGAUUGUAUUGCGGUGUCAGUACCUGGAAAGUCCAAAUGGAAAGAUAAUAGCUAGCUAGAAUUCUUACCUUUCCUGCGUUUCACACAGGUCGCAAUGCUCCAAACAAUUAGAGGUACUAGUGCCACUAGCAAAAAUAUCACCCAAUCUAUCCAAUUCAUCA